AAUAAUAAUAAUAAUAAGGAUAUGGCUUAAUCUUCAGUAAAUCCAAGUAAUUCCAUGAUGAAGCUUUGGACCGACGGGGGCCACCGGUACGAUGGUGAUCCAUCGAGUAUGAGUUCAGAUGGAGCUUUUUCCUGCAACAAAGGCACUGCUUGCUUUCUCUUAUGGUUCACCAUGACCUUACGAUGAGGUCCAUGAACUUCGACAUAACUACUCCGAAUGCUAUCCGCCAUUGAAGCUUGAUCCUUCAAGAAAGGUACAACAUGCUUUUUCAUGUCAUCGUUGGAGAUUCCGAGAUGACCUCCCGAGACAUUAAUGUAGUGGACCUUUCCGGCGUCGUCUAAGGUUUUUAAACCGAUCCAGUCCUCGGUGUAAAGCGUUGU